rnacentral:rRNA from 1 species
CCUACGGGAGGCAGCAGUGAGGAAUCUUGGUCAAUGGGCGAGAGCCUGAACCCGCCACGCCGCGUGAAGGAUGAAGGAUCUAUGGUUUGUAAACUUCUUUUAUAUGGGAAUAAAGUGAGGAACGUGUUCCUUUUUGUAUGUACCAUAUGAAUACGCAUCGGCUAACUCCGUGCCAGCAGCCGCGGGAAUACGGGGGCUGCGAGCGUUAUCCGGAUUUAUUGGGUUUAAAGGGUGCGUAGGUGGUUAAUUAAGUCAGAGGUGAAAGGUUGUGGCUCAACCAUCAAAUUGACGUGGAAACUGGAUGACUUGAGUAUAGGUGAGGUAGGCGGAAUGCGUGGUGUAGCGGUGAAAUGCAUAGAUAUCACGCAGAACACCGAGUGCGAAGGCAGCUUACUAGACUAUAACUGACACUGAAGCACGAAAGCGUGGGGAUCAAACAGGAUUAGAUACCCUAGUAGUC